rnacentral:lncRNA from 1 species
ACCUUGGAUAAAUUGGUAAAAUAGGGAAGAGUCUUGGUUAAUAGUUGUUAUUUGUGUAUGAGAGAUGCAAAUUCCGUGUAACCAUAUCCUUCUGUGGUACCAUUCCAUAUCGGUUCUGGUUUACGGCUUGUAGUCUUCUGGGGAUUAACUAGUUGAUGACGAGGACAGUGAAAAAUGAGAUCCAGGCUUGGAUGAGAUGCACAAGGUUAAGUGCUCCGUGAGGCUUAUUCCUUUGGUUCCUUUUUGGGU